rnacentral:lncRNA from 1 species
UCUUGUCUUUCUAGAAAAAUAUUGCUUUCCUUGCUUUUGUUUGAGUUCCCGACAAAGGAAGAGGUGACAUUGGCAUUGCCCUAAGUGCCAGCAUAUCUUGUCGUGCCCCUGACUUUAAAAAGCACCUCCAUAAUCAUGAAGUCUGGUGGAUACAGACUCAUUUCGAAAGAGGGCACACUUCUGCUGGCUUGACAGUGUAACAAAAUGGAGAACAAAGUCCGAGCCAUGCCAGGAAUUUUACAAAAUGUACACACUGCAGCCUUGCAGACACUGCAGUGAGCUUUACACGAACUGCUUACCAGGUGUGCAAAUUAUGCAUAAAUGUGAUCACUGCUAGGUACUUGAUGAUAAAAUGCAAUACGAAUAAUCAUUAAUAUGGCUGUGCAUGCAUGUCUACUGUUCAGAAGGCAGUUUAGGUAUUAAUGUCACCAUUUUCUUAUGAAUCCUCUAGGCUAUGUGGAACUGGAUGAGGAGUAAUUUCUAACUGCGAAAUUCUGAAAAAACAGAGGUGUUAAUUUAUCGGACCAAAAACCUCUGCAUGUAAUAACCUAGAACACUGUCUAAGACUUGAUGGCUGCUCUGUCAAUUCUUCGUCAUCAGUUAGGAACCUAGGUGUGCUAUAUGAUCGCAAUCUUUCCUU